CGGGGGGAGCAAGCGUUGUUCGGAUUUACUGGGCGUAAAGGGCGCGUAGGCGGCCGGCACAAGUCAGUUGUGAAAUCUCCGGGCUUAACUCGGAACGGUCAACUGAUACUGUGCGGCUAGAGUGCAGAAGGGGCAACUGGAAUUCUCGGUGUAGCGGUGAAAUGCGUAGAUAUCGAGAGGAACACCUGCGGCGAAGGCGGGUUGCUGGGCUGACACUGACGCUGAUGCGCGAAAGCCAGGGGAGCGAACGGGAUUAGAUACCCCGGUAGUCCUGGCCUUAAACGAUGGAUGCUUGGUGUCUGGAGUUUUAUAGUCUCCGGGUGCCGUAGCUAACGCGUUAAGCAUCCCGCCUGGGGAGUACGGUCGCAAGACUG
rnacentral:rRNA from 1 species